AGGUGGGAUGUGGUCUAUAGAAAUUCAGCAAGUUCUCUGAAAAGCGUGCAAAAACUUUGUCCAAUUUUUUCUUUAUUUUCCCAUAUUUUGGCAAUUUUGAUGAGACCAAACAGGGCUAAGCCAAGUUUUGGUCAGCUCCAAAUGGUGUCAAGAAGCUGCUGUAAACAUUUCAGAUUUUUCUAAUAAACGAGUGAAACAUUAUGCCUAUUUUACCGAAUGUAUCUCAAGUUAUGUUUUUCCGAAAGGCACAACACGGUGGUGGCGGCAGUUAGGGCAAAGCAUCCCUAAACUCCAACACCGAUCACAAGAUCAGUCGUCCCUGUAACUAAUAGCAGUAGGUAUUCGCCUGAUGAUGUAAGGAGGGCUACGAUGCAGGCAAAAUAACAGUGGUUGGCAACCUAUUAUCU
rnacentral:lncRNA from 1 species